rnacentral:tRNA from 1 species
AUUUAAAUAAUUUAAAAUUAAAAAUUUAAUAUUGAAAAUAUUAACAUAGAAUAAAUUAUUCUUUUAAAUA